UGGAUCCCAUCACCUCCACGACACUCAAUCCAGAUACCGAAAAUAAUGACGCAUAAGGGUUCAUAGAGUUUCUUCUUUUCCUUAUUCCUACGCUGUGUUCGAACUUCAGAAUCCGAAGAAACAGAGCUCAUAUUAUGUAAUUAGGGUUCAAUACAUACGUAUAUACAUAUAUAUCUUAUCAUCACACUCGCUCACACUCCAAAACCCUUGGAAAGUUCUACAAAUUCUGGGGUUUUUCAUCAGAUUCGAGAAAUUUCUUCUCUUCAAACCUCCACAACUCUAUUUUCGAUUUGAUGGCCUCUUCUGAGGCUUAGUUGAUGAAUGUGCUUUGUGCAAACAAGGUUCUGUAUGCAAAACUCUACCAUUGGAUUUUAUUGAUUUGCUAGUUUGAGUCUGGCCACUUGAGAUGUAUGGUCAGGGUAAUUAUGCACCUCCGUUUGGGCAGGGCCCCCAUGCACCCACGCCUUCCUUCCAACAGCGACCUCUGGCUCCUCCACCUCCUCCCUUCCAGCAAGGCCCUCCAGCUCCCCAACCUUCUACAAUUCAACAAGGUCCUCCAUCUAUUCCACCUAAUGUAGGUCAGCUUGCCCCACCUGCAUAUCAGAAUGCCCCACCUGCCCCACUUCAGCAAGGCCCUUCUGCUCAAGGUCUGCCAAGUGCAAUGUUGAACGCAGGUCAAUCUUACUUACCUCCGCCCCCACCUCUGCCCUCACACAUCCAUGGAAGCACCUCAAUGGCACAUUCUUACCCAGCUUCUCAUCAGAACACCCCAUGGACCCACAAUGUACAUCAUAUGCCGCCGGUCGCUCCUCUUGGUCGGCCUCCAGGGGGCCCAAGUCACCCAGAAAUGUUCCAACCCCCACCCCCUCCUAGAGUAUUACCUCCUUUUCUUUCACAAGGACACACAAUGUAUAGAGGUCAAGUUCCCCCACCACAACCUGGUGGUGUGCAGGCCACUCAACAUAUCCCACCACCUCCUCUGCCUCCGACUUCUAGUUUCUUCACUCCAGCUUCAUUUGAAACCUUUGUACAUUCAGCACAUCAAGAUUCUUAUAUGCCAGCCUCUGGUCCCCCUCCACCACCGCCUCCUCCACCCUCUUCUCCUCCACCUCCUCCACCUUCUCCACCACCGCCUUCCUCUCCCCGUCCUUGUUCUGGGACUUUGUCUUCUACACCUUCCCUUAUUGCUUUUGACUUGCCCUAUCAUUCCGAGUAUCGUCCAAGUUCCAGUGAACAUUCUGGCUUUGAAGUGAAGGCUUCAAAUUCUUUUGAUAAACUCUUAGACUCCCAUCAGACCAGGGGUUCACCUACAUGUGAUGGCAAUAGGGAUCCUGAAGGUCGGAGUAGCUCUGAAGUGAGUUUGCUUGUGGAUGAUGGCUUAUCAUCAGUUGUAAGUGCUAAAUGGGAUCUUCCUCCACCCCCAUCCAAGCCGGCAGAGGAAAAAAUUGUUCAAAGAAUUGAAGAUCUAUGUCAGUCUAUUGCAAAGAAUGGUCCUGGUUUUGAAGAUAUGGUUCGUCAAAAGGAGGUUGGCAACCCGGAGUUUGAAUUUUUGUAUGGUGGUGAGCCAGGCAGUAGAGCAGCAGUUGCAUAUGAAUACUUUGUAUGGAUGAAAAGGGGAUCUAGUUUGGCAUGUAAAUCACUUGAAGAGCAUGAUAAAAGUGAUUCAGCACUGAGGCUUUCAGAAAUUGGUACUUCAAUGCAACCUGAUAGUUUGAUGGAUGCAGGUCUAUCUCAGUCACCUUCCUUUUCUGACAUGGAUGUCGAAGAUGAUAUCACCCAGCUUGAUGAAGAACGGCAGGGUUAUAACUCAGUUAAAGGUGUGAACUUGAAUAGUGAUUCGAUACCUACUGAGCUUGAUAUGAAAGUGCAGUUAUAUGCUGUACCAGCAGCAAAUAAUGCUUCAGAACAUAUUCCAUCCAAGGAUGCGAUAGAUGACAAUUUUCCUUGUGGAUCCCCAAGAAUAUCAGAAGGAUAUAUACCGUUUCCCAAUCAUGAUCACUCUUCCUCUGCGCGUUUUCUUAGCAAAGCUGAUACAACAGUCAAAAAUUUAUCUGGAGCUGUUGAGUGCAACUUGAACAACAAUGUAGACAACUCUUCUAUUACCUCCCAACCAGAUUUGGGCCAAUCCAAUGCCUCAGCAUCUGCUGCUGACAUACGUUCUGAUAAGUUUCCUGGUGAACUAAUUGAAGGCACUAGCCCUUUCAGACUUCUACAGGACUAUGCUUCUGAUGAAAGUGCAGAAAACAAUGAUGAGCCUCGUCUUCAAGAUGUUAGCCCUGUAACAGCCUCACCAUCAACUACAGAUGUAGGUACAAGUUUGGAUGGAGAUAUGGUUUCUAAUUUCCAGACUGAUAUAGGAUCAAAGAAUCUGUCAACUUCUGAAGUUGGGUUUGGAACAUUCUCCGAAUCUGUUGUUGCAUGUUCUCUAAGUAUGCCUUCUAAAGCUCUGGAAUUUUCCUUGGAAUCACGAAGGACUUCCAAGGAAAGUGAUAUAACAUCUAUUGCAAUUGGAAGAACUGAGGGACAUGACAACUACAGAAAUCAGGAAUCUGUUCACAAUGCUGCUUCUCAAGAGGCUUUUCAAGGAAAAGAUGCAUUGGGAUGUGUUGAUGCUGCAGCUAAAAGUGGCAAGUAUCGGAAGGAAGAUGUGAAGCAUACGCCUACUCCAUUAAAAGUUGAUGAGUUUGGGAGAUUGGUUCGAGAAGGUGUUAGCGACAGUGAUUCUGAUGAUUCACACUAUAAAGGAAGGCGUGUUAAGAGAGGCAAAAGUAGGAGCCGAAGCCGAUCUCCUCAUGAUGCUAGGAGGAGGAGGAGUUCAUGGAGAAGGAAGGAGAAGCGAAGCCAAUCUCGCAGUUGGUCUCCGAAGAAACGAAGAAGCAGGAGCAGAUCUCCCACUUUAAGGCGUGGUGUUGACUUUGGUGGUGACAGAAUGAGACGGGACAACAAGGGCCAGAUUCCAGCUUGCUUUGACUUUCUUCGGGGCAGAUGCUACCGUGGAGCAUCAUGUAGGUAUCUGCACAGUUAUUCUGACAAGAGUGAUGGAUCAAGGAACUAUAGGAGCAAACAUCAGCAUGUGGAUGUUCCACCUAGUUCUAGGAGUUUGGAUUUGCAUGAAGAGAUUGAGAAUAUCCCUUUCAAAAAAUCAGUUCAUGAGCAGGAUGCAAUCAAGAGCCAAGAAACACAACCCUUUCAGGACAUACCUGAAGACAUUUUUGGUGCUUUAAAGGAGGGGGGCAGUGAUGGGAAAGAAGAUACAAUAUCUGUAAGGAAUGCUGUGCAGCCUGUAAUUACUGACAGAGAGAGUAUAUCAUUGGUUACUGAUGUGGCUGAAUCUGAGAGAUCUACAACUCAAGUGCAGGAAACUCAAGGCAUUAAAGAAGAGCUCGUGGAACCUACAAUUAACCUUCCUGACAGUGUUGCGGGUCCAAAAGGAGUGGAAGUGUUACAGCCGAUUGAUAGAAUUCCCGAUUGUUCAGUAGCUGAAGUCAAUGCCCCAAAGUCUCCUGGUGAUACUUCUCAUGGAAUACCUUCCACUGACAGUUUGUCGGUUCCAAAAUCACAAGCUAAUCUGUCUACUCAGGUGCUUCAAAAUGUUGACCACCAACCUCAGCAGAGUUCUUCUGCCUCUGAUUUGUCACCCAUUCAGACAUCAACAUCCUUCCUGAAUCAGCUACCCAGCAGUGGACCUCUUACAGAUAAAAUCUCUUCAAUUCAGUCAUUCCCCGGUACGGGUUCUACAAACCAGCCAUAUUCCUCUGAAGGUUUUUCAUCUCAAUCUUUGCCUCCGAAGGAGAUAACCUCACCCAUUUUUCCUACUGCGGGUUUUCCACAUUAUUAUUCACAGUUACCACCUCCCCUUCCUUCACUUUCACAAGGCACAAAUAUGCCACCAGCGCCACAGCUGUCAGGAGAUUACAACUUAAUGCCAUUAGCUGCAAAAUUUCCACCUCAUUCUGCUUCUGUGGAAAAAUUUUCUCCCUAUCAAGGUCCAAUGUCCAACCAACAUUCUCACUUCUCUGUAGCACCAAAUGCCUCUUGGACCUCCCUGCCGCCCCCGCCACCACGACCUCCAUACAUUAAUGAAUCAACUCUAAAUGCAACAACUGGCAUGACUAAUGUUACUUCAUUAAAUUUCCAACCUAAUCAGCUACCUCCAAGAAAUGAUUUCUCUUUGCAGACAGUUAUGAGGCCCUACCCAACUGAAGUGCCUGCAUAUUCUCAAGUUGUUGACUAUCCACAUCGAAUCCACUCUCCAAGGCAGGAGCCUAAUCGUCCCCCUUUCCACAUGGAAAAUAUUAGACCGACAACUCUCCCUGCGGGCAACCCAAUGAGUCAACCAUUUGGGGGACCCAAUCAUGUUGGGGAAGAUCGCUUCACAAGGCUUCCGGUACAGGGGUUAGUCUCUUCAAAUCCAUCGACUCAGGGUAACAUGGCCACUCAACAUGUGCCUUUUUUCAGGGAACCAGCAGGAAGGCGAAUGCAAUCUUUCCCUGGUGACAAUUUGCGCCCUGGUGAGCUUUUUAUGUCGCCUUCUGACAAUCCUUACCUACAGCAGCAACAGCCGUUGUACAGUCUUCAAUGUCCUGCAGCUGAUAGUGUUUCUGGACACCCGGACGAGCCUGGGAAGAGUGAUUCUACCAUGUCAAGGCACACAUCAGAUAUUCUGGACAGGAAUCAUCCGUCCCACCUGUCCAACUUUGGAGGAUCAAGAAUUUCAAACUACUACAAUCCUUAUGCAUCUACUUUUGACCAGCCACUAAGUUCUAAAUUCAGCUCAAAUAUUUUCAAGCACGAAAAAGACAUACCACACAGUUUUAAACAUGAUACUUCUUUCAGUUUGAGCCAUGAUCCUGUUGAUGGGCAAGGUAUUGGAAGUCUUAGCUCUAGGCAUACGACAUCCUCUCCAAAUCCUGCCCGGGCUGUGGAGCAUGUUUUGCCUAGAUUAGGUGGUGAGCAGUAUGAUCCCCUAUUUGACAGCAUUGAGCCAUCUUCAAACUCAUUCAGGAAAUUUGAUCAUGGUAAAAAGCGUGAACCCACCAAUGACUCUGAUGUCAUGUUAAGGCUGAGCGGCACAUAUAAGCCAUUGGAUGUGGAAGAAAACAACAAGCAGAAAGACGUUGUUGCUGUAACUACAUCUCUGGAAAAUGAUAAUGAUGAAUUUGGUGAAACAGCAGAUGCAGAAGUGGGUGCUGUGGAGAAUGGAAGCCCAAGCACUCCUCUUGAUGUAAUGAAUACAGCUGCAGGAGAGAUUGAGAUUGAUCAGAUUAAGACGCCAGGGAAGAGCAGGAAGGGCAAGGAUUCCAGAUCAAUGAAACUUUUCAAAGGUGCCCUUGCAGAUUUUGUGAAGGAGGUGUUAAAGCCAUCUUGGCGACAGGGUAAUAUGAGUAAGGAGGCUUUUAAGACCAUUGUCAAGAAGACUGUUGAUAAGGUGGCUGGAGCUAUGAAGAGCCACCAAAUACCCAAGUCUCAGGCAAAGAUAAAUCAUUACAUUGAUUCAUCGCAGCGUAAACUGACUAAACUUGUGAUGGGCUAUGUUGAUAAAUAUGUCAAAGUAUAAAAGUUGGCAUUCACUGUGUUUCCAGCAGGUAGCAAAUUUGGUUAGACCCCUGAAAAACUAGUAUGCUUCCACUUUUAGAAACUUAAGCUAUGAGGAGGGGAACUUGCAGCUCUUGUUGGGAAAAAAAAGAGAGUGCAUGCUGCUGUUUGUAAUGUUAGUACCUGUUAGAAUGCUAGUACACCCAUGAGCGAUGGCGUUAGGGCCCAUAAGAAGAUGAACUUAUUGAUAGAAGAUAAUAUAAAUUCCAGCCUCAGCAAAGUUCUGAGGAAGCUCCAAAACUUGCAACGAGAUGUUGAAGUCCUUUGGAUUAAGUGGUCUCGGAUUCAGCAGGAAGUUUUCAGUUGUCAAUGAGUGAGUCAUGGUAAAUUUGAACUAUCUUUUUCCAUAUUUUGGCACUUUGCAUUACUAAGUGAUUCAGGUAAGAUCUUGUGAUUGAUGGAAGGUGAGAAUUUUCUCCUCAUUUUAAGAUUUAAGACAGCAGACUUCAUACUGUCCCCCCACCCAACCCCAACAUUUUCUCCUUUUAUAUAUUCGUAAAUGUUAGUACAUCUGGGAGAAAGAGAUAGGGGGUAUCUAACACUCCCUUCGGUUGGAACAAAGCUUUAGGUAGCGAAGUUGUUCGCAAUCAAGAUCAGAGGAUGAGGGACAAAAUGUUUACCUCGUGUAGUGCUGAAGCUUGUGGUCUUCAGGAUAUUUUAUAUUUUUUGUUCUGGAAAGUUAAAUGACUGAUCUAUCUUAUCAGGUCUUGUGUGGCUUUGUAUAAUUGGUAUUGUUAUGCUCAAGAUUCAGCAAGUGUUCCAGUAAUUUGACUUGGAUUUUUCAAAAUUUUGGGCAUUAUUUCUUCAGUAAUUAAGAAAAUGUGCGUGGUCCCUUUGUGUUUGUGUGCGAACUUA